GUGACAUGGCAGACGGCUGAGUAACACGUUGGUAACUCCCCUAAACUCGAGGAUAUCCCGCCGAAAGGCGGACUAAUACUCGAUAGACCCUCCGGGGUAAAGAUUUAUCGGUUUAGGAAGUGCCUGCGGCCUAUCAGCUAGUUGGUGAGGUAAUAGCUUACCAAGGCAAUGUCGGGUAGCUGAUGUGAGAGCACGAUCAGCCAGAAUGGGACUGAGACACGGCCCAUACUCCUACGGGAGGCAGCAGUAAAGAAUCUUCCGCAAUGGGGGCAACCCUGACGGAGCGACACCGCGUGGAGGACGACGUCCUAACGGAUGUAAACUCCUUUUGUGUAGGAGCAAAUUUUUGAGUUAACUACACGAAUAAGGACCGGCUAAUCACGUGCCAGCAGCCGCGGUAAUACGUGAGGUCCAAGCGUUAUCCGGAAUUACUGGGCGUAAAGCGUCCGCAGCUGGAAAAGUAAGUCUGAAGUUAAAUUUUGGGGCCCAACCCCAAAUCUGUUUUGGAAACUGUUUUUCUAGAGUCUGACAGGGGUAGGCGGAAUUCCUAUUGUAGGGGUAAAAUCCGUAGAUAAUAGGAAGAACACCAAACGCGAAGGCAGCCUACUGGGUCAGUACUGACAGUCAGGGACGAAAGCGUGGGGAGCGAACGGGAUUAGAUACCCCGGUAGUCCACGCCCUAAACUAUGGAUGCUCGGUUUGCGAAGGAUUCGACCCCUUUGCGAGCCUAAGGUAACCCGAUAAGCAUCCCGCCUGGGGACUACGAUCGCAAGAUUAAAACUCAAAGGAAUAGACGGGGACCCGCACAAGCGGUGGAGCAUCGGGUUUAAUUCGAUAAUAAGCGUGGAACCUUACCAGGACUUGACGUCCCGAGAAUCCUGUAGAAAUACGGGAGUGCUGCAAAGAACUCGGUGACAGGUGCUGCAUGGUCGUCGUCAGCUCGUGCCUUGAGGUGUUCGGUUAAGUCCGUAAACGAGCGCAACCCAUGUCGUAUGUUACUUUUUCAUACGAGACUGCCUCGUCAAACGAGGAGGAAGGUAUGGAUGACGUCAGAUCAGCAUGGCCCUUAUGUCCUGGGCGACACCGGUGCUACAAUGGUCGGUACAAAGGGUAGCCAACCCGCGAGGGGGAGCCAAUCCUGAAAAAGCCGACCCAAGUUCGGAUUGAAGGCUGAAGCUCGCCUUUAUGAAGCUGGAAUCGCUAGUAACCGUGUAUCAGCCAUGAUACGGUGAAUGUGUUCCCGGGUCUUGUACUCACCGCCCGUCAAGCCAUGAAAGGAAGAAGCACCUGAAGGCUCGGCAUAAGCCGGGACCACGGUGAAGCUUCUGAUUGGGGCUAAGUCGUAACAAGGUA
rnacentral:rRNA from 1 species